GAAGAGACUUGGCGCGGCUAUCCCAGAAGCCAGAACAGCAAGAGGGAUCGCUGCUUUCGCGAUCCCUCUUGCUGUUCUGACUGCUUCGCUGGAGAAGCGCUGUGCAGAGGGGGAGAGAAUAUUUUUUUUCUUGUUCUCCUCCUCUAAAACUAUGGUCUUA